UCUUCAUAAAAAAAUAUGUACCUUUAUGUCAGACCACUUCUUUUUUAAUUCUGGGACUGUGCGCUCCGUACCACUGACAGAGUUCACUGCUGCGGCAACAUGUUGCCACUCUGCUUUUUGUUGUUAGUGAUCUCAAUCCCGUGACCACCGAACAAAACUACUUUUCAGGCCUCCACCUCACCCACACGUGUCUCCACUUCAACCUCCGUGAAAUUUAAAUUUUUUGCUUUUCUCAGUCCUUCUGCCAUUGUUUCCGACAAGACAUAAUACUUGCAUCUGAGUCUGUUUUAUAUGCAGAUCGCAUUCAUGAGGUCGUUUGCAUUGACCAUUUAUGGUUAAAAAGGGGCGUGUACAGGGGAUGGGCAAAAUGAUUCUUUUCCGGGAACUAGUUCUUUCAGUUCUGUUCACUAUAACGAUUCGUUUAUUGGAUUAGUUUGUUACGUCAGAUUACGUC